AUACGGAGGGUGCAAGCGUUACUCGGAAUCACUGGGCGUAAAGCGCGCGCAGGCGGUCUUUUAAGUUGGAUGUGAAAGCCUACGGCUCAACCGUAGAACUGCAUCCAAAACUAUUAGACUAGAGUGUGGGAGAGGAAGAUGGAAUUAGUUGUGUAGGGGUAAAAUCCGUAGAGAUAACUAGGAAUACCAAAAGCGAAGGCAAUCUUCUGGAACACUACUGACGCUGCGGCGCGAAAGCGUGGGGAGCAAACAGGAUUAGAAACCCUAGUAGUCC
rnacentral:rRNA from 1 species